rnacentral:rRNA from 1 species
GACGAACGCUGGCGGCGUGCUUAACACAUGCAAGUCGAGCGGGAAACUUCGGUUUCCAGCGGCGGACGGGUGAGUAACACGUGGGCAACCUGCCUCACAAUGAGGGAUAGCCUUCCGAAAGGAAGAUUAAUACCUCAUAACACAAGAGAAACGCAUGUUUCUUUUGCCAAAGAAUUUCGUUGUGAGAUGGGCCCGCGGCGCAUUAGCUUGUUGGUGAGGUAACGGCUCACCAAGGCUUCGAUGCGUAGCCGACCUGAGAGGGUGAUCGGCCACAUUGGAACUGAGACACGGUCCAGACUCCUACGGGAGGCAGCAGUGGGGAAUAUUGCACAAUGGAGGAAACUCUGAUGCAGCAACGCCGCGUGAGUGAUGAAGGUCUUCGGAUUGUAAAGCUCUGUCUUCUGGGACGAUAAUGACGGUACCAGAGGAGGAAGCCAUGGCUAACUACGUGCCAGCCGCCGCAGUAAUAC